GGCUUGCGUGCCAAAAUUUUCUUAGUGGGAAGUGCCCGACAAAAAGUUCCAUAGGUCUCUUUCGAGGUCCAUCUAAGGAGAGGCUGACUACUGGUAGCUAUUUGGCCGAGAACUGGGUUGUGACGGCUGAGUACUGGGGAAAUAUGCCUUAUUUUGAAAAAUAAUUUAUUUUCAA